GAACCGCACAAACAUUUGCGAAAAUUUUAUGAAAAGGAAUGACAAAAAAAGUCGGUGCGAGUUACUGCACUCUUUCUGCUCGUGUGAACGCAAAGAGCGACAUUAAAACAUAAUAUUCCGAUAAUGAGCGACCAAAGAAUCCCCAUGUAAACGCAGUAGUACUUCAAAUACCAAUGCACGUCCCUUGUGUGACUAAAGUGCAGCCAACGCAUUUUAUCAGUUGCUGUUGCGUGUGCAUUAGUAUUAUAUUUGGUGUUCGCAUGUUUUGUAUCUGAACCUACACCUGUCCAAGCUGUCAACAUAAUAUCAGAAACACAAGCAUUAAAUAUUUCAUGGAGCCCUCCUCGGUAUGCUGAUUUAUGUGUAAUAGAAUACCGUUUAACGGGAUGGAUUAAUAAGAACUCAUCUAGUCAACGUUUUGAUAAACAAACGAAUGCCACUUCAAUAUUUAUUAAUGGGCUUUAUGCGUGUCAGUCAUAUAAUCUUCAAAUUAUUGCAAUUACUAGCAAUACUGAUGGGGAAAUAGUAAGUACAGAAGUCGAAACUGCAGCAAAGGUGGCAAUGGCAAGUAAUAUUCAAGCAUUGGCUCAGUAUCCAAAUGCUCUCGAGCUUAGUGCUGUUGACUCAAAUUUCGAUAACAAGUGUGAGACUAUAAUAGCAAGAUUCCUGUGCGAAGAAAGCAAGCCCGGAAAUGCCACAUAUAAGGGCGCCAGACAAUAUGUGGAGGGUCAAGUCAAAGGUGUUACAUUUAAAGCGUUUUUGGCUCCACUUUCACCGUACACAUCCUAC